rnacentral:tRNA from 1 species
CGCAGGUUGGAGAAGUGGCAUCUCGUCACCCUCAUGAGGUGAAGGCCGGUGGUUCGAGUCCACCACCUGCAA